GCCAAAUGAAGCUGAAAGCACAAGUACUCAAGUAGUAGAAACAGUUGAAGCAAAAAUUCUUGGAACUGAAGAUGUGACAGAACAAAAUGAAGAUGAAAACAAUGUAAACUUGGUUGAAGGAGAUAAGACAAUCUCCAGUAUUCAAGAAGAAGACUUGCUAGGAAAAACUCCUGGAACUGACGAUGCACUUUACAAAGCUGAAACCACAAAAAAGUUGGUUGACGGAGAUGAGACAAAUUCCAGC